ACUGGGCAUGGUGGCACACACCUGUAAUCCCAGCAGCUUGGGAGGCUGAGGCAGGAGGAUCAUGAAGUCAAGGCCAGCAUCAGCAACUUAGUGAGGCCCUCAGCAACUCAAUGAGAUCCUGUCUCUA
rnacentral:sRNA from 1 species